UACGGGGGGGGCAAGCGUUGUUCGGAAUUACUGGGCGUAAAGGGCUCGUAGGCGGCCAACUAAGUCAGACGUGAAAUCCCUCGGCUUAACCGGGGAACUGCGUCUGAUACUGGAUGGCUUGAGUUCGGGAGAGGGACGCGGAAUUCCAGGUGUAGCGGUGAAAUGCGUAGAUAUCUGGAGGAACACCGGUGGCGAAGGCGGCAUCCUGGACCGGUAUUGACACUGAGGCGCGAAAGCCAGGGGAGCAAACGGG
rnacentral:rRNA from 1 species